rnacentral:lncRNA from 1 species
GUUGCUGGGACGGGAUCGUCUCUGCUCCUGGCCUUGGAAAAUGGAACAAGAAAUGAAAGCAGACAGUGACCCGGACCCAGAGCAGGGAUGUCCCCUGAUGCCAUCCGCACCCCCAGGACAGCUGGAUGACAGCGGGCAGAUGGUCCAGGGCAGAGGUGCAAAGCCCCUGCCACAACCACCCGUGGAAGGGGGUCUGCUCCCAUUGCCCCCCAGCGCGUCCCCGGUGUCGGAGGCGGUGGCCCGACGAGCCCUCCUGCGCUUCGUGUCCUCCCGGGGCUGCUGUGGGCCCGGUGCGGGCGAGGAGCCGGCCAUCCGGCGGCUGCGGCAGCGGGGGACGUACCGGGUGAGUGCCUGCAGCUCCAACACAGGGACACCCAGCCACAGAGAGCCAGCCAGUUGUUAAAUUAAAUGGCUUUCAUCCUGCUUUAAGGGCAG